GGAAUAUUGCACAAUGGGCGAAAGCCUGAUGCAGCGACGCCGCGUGAGGGAUGACGGCCUUCGGGUUGUAAACCUCUUUCAGUAGGGAAGAAGCGAAAGUGACGGUACCUGCAGAAGAAGCGCCGGCUAACUACGUGCCAGCAGCCGCGGUAAUACGUAGGGCGCAAGCGUUAUCCGGAAUUAUUGGGCGUAAAGAGCUCGUAGGCGGUUUGUCGCGUCUAUCGUGAAAGUCCGAGGCUCAACCUCGGAUCUGCGGUGGGUACGGGCAGACUAGAGUGAUGUAGGGGAGACUGGAAUUCCUGGUGUAGCGGUGAAAUGCGCAGAUAUCAGGAGGAACACCGAUGGCGAAGGCAGGUCUCUGGGCAUUAACUGACGCUGAGGAGCGAAAGCAUGGGGAGCGAACAGGAUUAGAUACCCGAG
rnacentral:rRNA from 1 species